ACUUGUACCGACUGGAUGAGCAGCGAACGGGUGAGUAACGCGUGGGGAAUCUGCCUUUGAGCGGGGGACAACAUUUGGAAACGAAUGCUAAUACCGCAUAAAAACUUUAAACACAAGUUUUAAGUUUGAAAGAUGCAAUUGCAUCACUCAAAGAUGAUCCCGCGUUGUAUUAGCUAGUUGGUGAGGUAAAGGCUCACCAAGGCGAUGAUACAUAGCCGACCUGAGAGGGUGAUCGGCCACAUUGGGACUGAGACACGGCCCAAACUCCUACGGGAGGCAGCAGUAGGGAAUCUUCGGCAAUGGACGAAAGUCUGACCGAGCAACGCCGCGUGAGUGAAGAAGGUUUUCGGAUCGUAAAACUCUGUUGGUAGAGAAGAACGUUGGUGAGAGUGGAAAGCUCAUCAAGUGACGGUAACUACCCAGAAAGGGACGGCUAACUACGUGCCAGCAGCCGCGGUAAUACGUAGGUCCCGAGCGUUGUCCGGAUUUAUUGGGCGUAAAGCGAGCGCAGGUGGUUUAUUAAGUCUGGUGUAAAAGGCAGUGGCUCAACCAUUGUAUGCAUUGGAAACUGGUAGACUUGAGUGCAGGAGAGGAGAGUGGAAUUCCAUGGGUAAGC
rnacentral:rRNA from 1 species